rnacentral:rRNA from 1 species
CCAGUUCGGAUUGUAGUCUGCAACCCGACUACAUGAAGCCGGAAUCGCUAGUAAUCGCAGAUCAGAAUGCUGCGGUGAAUACGUUCCCGGGUCUUGUACACACCGCCCGUCACACCAUGGGAGCCGGGAAUGCCCGAAGUCGGCAGCCGAACCGUAAGGAAGGAGCCGCCGAAGGCAGGCCCGGUAACUGGGGUGAAGUCGUAACAAGGUAGC